GUUAACAAGACAGGCCUGAGACCCUUUAGCGAAAGGAAAGUAACAGUGACAGUGAAACCCCUCCAGCUAAACGCUCAGUGCUUGGUGUACACUCAAAGAUAUUUAGGAAAAUGGGAGAAAUGGGAAAUGGGAAAUUUUAUGGUGAAAAGGGAAAUUUUGAUGGAUCCCCUUGGGAAAUAUGGUUAUGGGAACCAGGAGGUUGGCUGCUGGCAACACUGCUGUGAAGCGUCAGUUAUCUGUUAUCAGUGAAUGUGGGUGAAUGUCGUUGAAAUCUCUCCGGCACAUUCUUAACAGGAGGGCAGGACUGAGGACGCUGAUUGCUGUGGCGAAGAAAAGACUUGGGACAGACGACCUGGCAUAGACGAAAAGGAAACUGCAUGAAUAGCCUACUGCGUGGGGAGAGAAAAACAACAACGGAAAAUCAAGCGGCGUCCGUAUCACUAGCCUAGCAGAAGAGCACGUGCAAGACGGGAGCUCAAAAUAGUAUGCUUCUCUUUCCAGGAACUGUCGUCACCAAGCCUCUUCUUUCCUCUUCUAAUCUUAAAGUGGUGUGUCGGGGGCCAGAGGAUGUUGCGAAUCUCCGCCAUCCAUUUCUGCGACUCUGUCUCGCUCUGGCCGCUGAGGUAGAGCAGCGCCUCGCCCCUCCUGCCGCAGACCUCGAAGGCGUACGGGUGGGACCUGUGGGGG